UCUUCGGAUCGUAAACUCCUGUCAGACGGGACGAAGAGUCGGCGGAAAAUACCUGCCGGCUUUGACGGUACCGUCAGAGGAAGCCCCGGCUAACUCCGUGC
rnacentral:rRNA from 1 species